UGCCAAGCCUGUUUGCCGACAGAAACUAAGCGACGCCGUGGUGUAGAGUGCUGUCACCAUCAUGGACUCGCCGCUACAGCGUCUGGGUUUCUCUGCAAGGCCCCAGCUCUGCGGAGACCUUCGUAUUUGCUCGAUUUUACUACCAUGAACACCUAGACUGGGAAAAUUACGUGUGCGCCGAGUUUGGUUUGGGAUCAGCGGCAAAGAUGAUCAGAGAAUCCAGAUCUCUCCAGCGCAGUCAGGUGCUUUAAUUGUUAAACAUUGUCUUUUCCCAGACUGGGACAGGACCUACAUUUCUUGCCCUUCGACCGCCUCCAGACCCCCCGCGCGGGAUCGCGGCUCCGUCGCGCUAAGCGCCAGGCUGGAAGCUGCCAGCCCUGUCGCUGCGAGUGCCCAGUUUUUCAGCCUGCCGGUAGGAAAUGGCAAAUAUUUAGUUUGCGAAGGGCCUUCUCAUAUAACGUCCAAGAAAAUGAAGGUCCAAACUGGAAGCACAGACAAGCAAGUGUAUAUAGACGUAAGUGUGUCCUCUAUAACGUAUAGAGCCAUACGUUCCCAAUCUGUGUAUUUAUAAGCCCAGAAUUAGCU